rnacentral:lncRNA from 1 species
AGGUGGCAUUGCAGAAGCUUGCAAUUGAAUUAAAAGUGAUGGAAUAUUGCAAAUAAGGAAACGGGUUGUUAAUAAAAGUAUAAUCAAUUUGUAUCAGUGUCCUAAUAAUUGUAUAGAACAACAUUCACUCGAUGGUCGUGUGUUGUUCAAGAAGAAAACUUUACAAUACCCGUCAAUUACAUGUCAAGAAUUUCGUUGUUUGUUUUAAAUGUUAGAAAAUGGGGCAUUGUCUAAGCGACUGUUUAUCAAUUAAUUCAUAUCAAAAGUGUAAUGGUAGACAACAUACCCUUCUCUAUAGAACAGAAAAGGAAACAGGAAUUGUUCCUUUAAGUUCAAGAUCUAAUGUUGGGCAUAUUUCUACUAUUAAAUCAACUUUGUUCAUGACUACAACAACACAUAUUGUAGGCAAUGAUCGUAGUGAAGAGGUUCGUGUAUUAUUCGAUCCUGGAUCUCAGAUAAGUUUAGUAACUUCUACGGUGGUCAAGUGUCAUAAGUUAGGUGUAAUCCCGGCAGAAAUGUCUAUUAGUGGUGUUGCUGAUAUGGAGUGUCCGAUUAAAAAGUGUUUUCAACACAGUAUCAGAUUACAGACUCGUACUGGAAAAUCAGUUCUAAUCGAGGCCUUUGAAGUUAAUCGUAUUUCUGAAUACUCGUUAUCAACUCCAAAAAUUGUUUAUCUCAUUCACAUUUAUGUGAUUUAGAUUUAGCUGAUUCUGUAGAUCUAACAGGAAAAAUACAAAUAUUGAUAGGAGCUAAUAUGAUUUUAACAUCUGUUCCAGAUAGAAUUGGGAAAAAGGAUGAAUCGUUUGCAAAACAUACGAAACUUGGAUGGGUUAUUAGUGGGAAUGUUGGUAUCCCAUUUAAUCGGCAUUAUGUGUGUGUAUCUCAUCAUCUAUCAAACCAGCAUUUCCUGAUAUUUCAAAAUUUUGGAAACUAGAAGAAAUUGGUACCUCAAAUAAGAAAUAUAUAUCAAAAAAUGAAUUGAAGGUUGAGGAAGUUUUUCGUUGUAAAGUUAGAAUGACAGACAAUGGUCACAUCGAGGAUCCUUUACCUUUGAUGGAUGACUUUUUGGACAUGUCGGAGUCAAAAGAAACUCCCUCUCAAACGUUUCAAUAAACUAGAAUCAUCAUUUCGUAGGAGGGCUGAAUUUGGAAAUGCAUAUCGGAAUGCUAUGUCAAAGUAAUUUUGAUUUGGGUUUCACUAAAGUGAUACCGUAUGAUGAAGUAGCAAUCAAAAAUAAUAUGGUUUGUUAUUUACCACAUCAUGGUGUGAUAAAAGAAACGUCUACUACAACUAAAUUACGUUUUUUUUUUUGACGCAUCAAUGAAAGUGAAUCAUGGUAAAUCGUUUAUUGAUCAACUUUAUGUAGGUCCAAAGAUACAAUUUGAUCUUAUAGAUAUUCUAUACGUGUGGAGCUUUGUGCUUGUAGCUAUUGUGGCUAACAAAACAAAAAUGUACAAUCAAGUUUAUGUUUCAAGCAAGACCUUCUCCGUUUUUUUUAGAAUAAAAAUAAAUUGCACUAUCAAAGAGUGUCGCCAUACGAGGCAGGUUUUUGGAACGGCAAGUGCUGUUCAUUCGUGUAUAUCUGCUGUCAAAAUGAAUGCUCAGAAAUUCAAAGCAGAAUAUCAAACUGCAGUGAGUACUAUAUAUGUAUAAUGAUAUGUACGUGGAUGACUUGGUCACUGGAGCAAGUGACAUUAUCGAAGCCAAACAAAUGGUGGAUCAACCUAUUAAGAUAAAUUCUUAUGGUCAAUUUCAACUACGGAAGUGGUGCAGCAAUAUUCCGGAAGUGAUUUCACAUCUUCAUAAUAAAUUACUCAAUAACGAAGAUAUAACUCUAUUACUUGAUGAAACUAAGGCUCUCGGUUAUUCUUGUAAUCCAAAAGAAGAUAGUAUUUACCUUUUUAUGGAUUUUAACAAGGAUUCAAAAUCACUAACAAUAGGGGUGUGUUAUCUUCAUCUUCGAGAUAUUUUGAUCCUCAAGGUAGAUUUGCAGCUGUUUUUUUCAUAGCUAAACUCAUAUUUCAAGAAACAUGGAGAUAAAAUGGGAUGGCUUGUUGCCAAAAGAUCUGGCUAAGAGAGGGUUACAAUUGAAACAUGCUGAGUUGUGUGUUUUUGGAGAUGCUUCAUCCAAGGGAUGGAGUCAAGUGCUUAAUGUCAGAGUUCGUGCAUGGACAGAUUCUGCGGUUGUUUUUCAUUGGAUUCAAAGUGAGGCAUCGAAUUGGAAAAUCUACUUUGCCAAUGGGAUACAGAUCAUUCAAGAUAUUAUAGGUCCAUUAUUUUGUAGUCAUGUUUCUGGAGUACAUAAUCCUGCCGACCAUGGAUGCCGUGGAUUGUCGGCCGCUCAAUUUGUAAAAAAUGAUUUAUGGUUCAAUGGGCCUCACUGGCUUAGUUUAAAAGAAGAAUAUUGGCCAAAGAGUCAUUACUGGCGAAGAAAAUACUCAAAUAGACUGUGAAAAAAAGAAAUUUAUUAAUAAUAAACUUAUUGUUCGAGAUAUUCCCACUCCUUUAUCUCAAACCCUAACUACAUUUUCGUCUUUGAUCAAGAUUCAAAGAUCUAUAGCGUGGUUAAAACGACUACCGAUAUUGUUAAAGGGAAGUGUCCCCAAACCAGAUUGUGCACUUUCUCUUGAAGACCUAGAAAUUGCAAUAAAAUGUAUUGUGCGGCUUGAACAAGAAAUCUAUUUUGACAAUCAAUUCAAGAGUAGUGUCAAGUCAAGGUGAUUUGUUAUCAAAAAAAGAUAGUCGUGCAAGCUUAGAAAUUGUCUAUGAUACUCCUGUGGAGGACGCCCUAAUAAUGUAUUGAAAUAUUACAAUCCUAUAUCCGACGUCCAUGUUAGUUUCAAAUCCAUCACGUUUUGCUGUUCUUCUUAUUGAACAUGAACAUGCAAGAUUACUACACAGUGGUCCUGCUACAACUUUAGCAUCAAUCCGUUCUCGUCAUUGUAUUGUUCGAGGGAGACAAUUAGUCAAUUCAAUAAUACGCAAAUGUGUUAGAUGUCAACGUUCUUUAGCCAAGCCAUCUCCUCAGAAAAUGGGUGAUUUACCUGUUUCAAGGGUAGAUGAUGUGGGUCCUCCAUUUCCACAAACUGGAAUUGACUAUGGAGGUCCGAUCAAUUUUAUACUUCAAAAAGAAAAACAAAUCAAAAAAAGUCUUAUAUUUGUUUAUUUACUGAUUGAUCUUUCAACUAAAGCUGUGCAUCAUCCAACUAGCAAAAUCAUUGAACACUGAGGAUUUCGUCAACCCUCUUCGUCGGUUUGUGGGACGAAAAGGAACGUCCAGCGUCAUUUGAAGCGAUCAUUGACGCAAUUUUGUUGGAUCUGCUAAUAUUCUAAGUUUUUACAGAAAGAAAAAGAAUUUUUUGCCAAAUAGUCAUUUUCUAGAGGGAUAGCAUAGAAAUUUAUCCCACCUAGAUCACCUCAUUGUGGAGGAGCAUGGGAAACAAUGGUAAAAUUUAAAAAAAAAUAUUAUUCUUCGUCAAUUUGGAAAUGCACAUAUGACCGUCGAACAACUAAAUACUACAUUAAUAAAGAUCGAGGCUGUACUUAAUACCUGUCCUUUGGUUCUUUUGUCUCAAAAUGCUUCUGAAGAUGCGAUCACUCCUUCAAUGCUCAAUGCAAUCCUUUUUUUUUUUUGAUAGUAUGUCUUCCUUUUUGAUAUUGUUGCCGUUUUUUCUUAUUAUGUACACAAGCGAGUUGCGCUCCUUUAUAAAUAUAUAUAUAUUACUCAGUUGUUUGUGUGCCUCUAAUAAAAUCAGAAUUACAGUCCACUAA